UUGGCCGAGAGGCCUGGGCAAUCUUUUGAACGCGCAUCGUGAUAGGGAUUGACACUUGCAAUUAUUUGUCAUGAACGAGGAAUUCCUAGUAAACGCAGAUCAUCAAUCUGCAUUGAUUACGUCCCUGCCCU
rnacentral:rRNA from 1 species